CGGGGGGGGCAAGCGUUGUUCGGAAUUACUGGGCGUAAAGGGCGCGUAGGCGGCCUGCUAAGUCACACGUGAAAUCCCUCGGCUCAACCGGGGAACUGCGUGUGAUACUGGCGGGCUUGAAUUCGGGAGAGGGAUGUGGAAUUCCAGGUGUAGCGGUGAAAUGCGUAGAUAUCUGGAGGAACACCGGUGGCGAAGGCGGCAUCCUGGACCGAGAUUGACGCUGAGGCGCGAAAGCUAGGGGAGCAAACGGGAUUAGAUACCCCGGUAGUCCUAGCCCUAAACGAUGAGUGCUUGGUGUGGCGGGUAUCGAUCCCUGCCGUGCCGAAGCUAACGCAUUAAGCACUCCGCCUGGGGAGUACGGUCGCAAGGCUG
rnacentral:rRNA from 1 species